UACGUAGGGGGCGAGCGUUAUCCGGAAUUACUGGGCGUAAAGAGCUCGUAGGUGGUUUGUCGCGUUGUUCGUGAAAACUCACAGCUCAACUGUGGGCGUGCGGGCGAUACGGGCAGACUAGAGUACUGCAGGGGAGACUGGAAUUCCUGGUGUAGCGGUGGAAUGCGCAGAUAUCAGGAGGAACACCGGUGGCGAAGGCGGGGUCUCUGG
rnacentral:rRNA from 1 species